CCUACGGGAGGCUGCAGUGAGGAAUAUUGGUCAAUGGACGAGAGUCUGAACCAGCCAAGUAGCGUGAAGGAUGACUGCCCUAUGGGUUGUAAACUUCUUUUAUAUGGGAAUAAAAUGUUCCACGUGUGGGAUUUUGUAUGUACCAUAUGAAUAAGGAUCGGCUAACUCCGUGCCAGCAGCCGCGGUAAUACGGAGGAUCCGAGCGUUAUCCGGAUUUAUUGGGUUUAAAGGGAGCGUAGGUGGAUUGUUAAGUCAGUUGUGAAAGUUUGCGGCUCAACCGUAAAAUUGCAGUUGAAACUGGCAGUCUUGAGUACAGUAGAGGUGGGCGGAAUUCGUGGUGUAGCGGUGAAAUGCUUAGAUAGCACGAAGAACUCCGAUUGCGAAGGCAGUUCACUGGACUGCAACUGACACUGAGGCUCGAAAGUGUGGGUAUCAAACAGGAUUAGAUACCCGUGUAGUC
rnacentral:rRNA from 1 species